CUUAAUUACCCUUUUUCCACCUUAAGUGCUUGCUCUUAAGUUCCUUAAGCCCCUCAGGAACCCCCAACAGGCAGAAGGUGGGCUAGAGAUGAAGUGAUUACUCUGAAAGGCUGAAGUGGGACAGAAAGGGUUUGGCAGAUGUUUACAGAGGGAUGAAGGAGGCAGGAGUGUUGAAGUGGCACAUAUAAGUCAAAGGAUAAAGGGAACUGAAAGGAAGUUUGAAGGUCAUGAGGAGAAACACCAUGGCCCUGAAUCACCACUGCCCAGAAUCAGACACACAGAGGUGUCAGCAGUGGAGAAGUUAUAAAAUGGCCUCCCUCAGCAUCCACUAGCCCAUGUUGAUGGGCACAGGGGUACAUUGUGAUGUCUAAGCCCCCCAAGAUGCUAUUGGCUGGGGUGGUGCCUAACUGACCAAUCAGAUUGAAGGGUGUGGCUCCUCAUUGUCCUGAAAGGGUAUAAAUAGGGAGACCAGAGGCAGAGAUUCUAGGUUAGGCCACUUCUUGGCAUCAUCCUGACUAAGGGAAUCAGGAACCCACGGCAGUCAAGAAGAGUUACAAGGCGGUUUGCCUCAAGGAUGAAUGGACAAAAGAAGACCCUUUGUCAACGGAGGCACGAAAUAUGACCAUGAGGGUCAGAAGACCUCUUCAAGGAACCUUGAGAAAGAAAAUCCGACCAUAUGCCACUCAGUCGAAGAAGGUGAAGACAACCAGAAAACCCAACUGUUUUCUCCGUUCCUGUGCACGUAAGAAACUGAAUCAAAGCCGUAAAAGGUACCAAAAUAUGAGGCGGGAUCAAAGAAGGAGGCAGAAUCCAAA